rnacentral:rRNA from 1 species
AAAGACCCUAUGAAGCUUUACUGUAUCCUGAAAUUGGUUUCGGGCUUUUUUUGCGCAGAAUAGGUGGGAGGCUAUGAUCUUGUCUUUUGGGAUACGGGGAGCCGAAAAAUGAGAUACCACUCUGAGAAAGCUAGAAAUCUAAUCUUAAUCUUAUGUACAAUCAUGAUAAUUGACAGUUUCAGGUGGGCAGUUUUACUGGGGCGGUAGCCUCCUAAAAAGUAACGGAGGCGUACAAAGGUUUUCUCAGGCUAGACGGAAAUUAGUUGUGGAGUGUAAAGGCAUAAGAAAGCUUGACUGUGAGACUUAUAAGUCAAACAGAGACUAAAGUCGGUCUUAGUGACCCGACGGUGCUGUAUGGAAAGGCCGUCGUAAACAGAUAAAAGUUACUCUAGGGAUAACAGGCUGA